UCUAGAGAGAGCGCCAAGGCGAGCGCGCAAGGAUGCCGCGGGCCUGGGCCCGCUUGUGCAAGCUAGGAUAGCUUGGGCCGCAGCCCCAGCGCGAGGUCUGCGCGCGCCCGGGCGUGCAUGCGGCUGCGGGGAGGUUCUGUGUGCGCGCAGGGCUGGAGCGCGGCCCGCGUUGGAGCUGAGUGGGCGCUGCGCGCGCGGGAGUAUUUCACAGCAAAUCUGAAUGUUUAAUUAAAGAAUGGAAUACAGAAAACCACAAAAAACUUCAGCUAUUGAUUUAAUCUCAUCUGAAAUUCUACAGGUGUGUCUUCUACCUCAGCAUAUCAAGGCAACAGGCUUCCCUUUUCUUGAGGCUUGAAUGAAAGACAUUCUUCCAUAUAUCUCAGAAUACACCCGAGAGUGGUACUGCUGCAGCCAGCGGGAAUUUCAAGGGCAAAAUUGGGAAAUGGCAAUGGAGUAGAGGUACUUUGUACUCACUAUCUACUGAGAAUGUGUAAGGGCCACAGAAAGAGGUAUUCAACGUGAUUUUAUGUUUC
rnacentral:lncRNA from 1 species